AUGAAGGAGGCUGAAAUCCGUGCUCCUCCAGCUGGGAUAUCUCCCACCAGCCAGCGCAGACAGCACCGUGCCGAGAAAAAGCAUCACCAGCCACCACAUUCCCUGCCCAGGGCCACAAAUCCCAGCUUGGAUCAGGUUGGAUCGAGGUGGAAUCGCCUCUCCCAAGCCCUUGGAUCCCAGCCCCACACGCUGCCCCCCUCAGCAGCGCCCAGCAGGGUCCAUCUCCUCUCCCACCUUGGGAAUGGGGUGUUGGGAACGCUGGGCUGCUGGAGGUUGCCAUGGCAAACUCAACGUAAAGCUCUCAGGAUUGCUGUUUACGUUGCCAAGUGGGGAGGGAGGGGGAAAAAAACCCCAACAAUUAAAAAAAAAAAAAAAAAAAUUCAAACCAACUCCCUCAAAAUUACCCUUCCUCGGCUCGGGUUUGAGGUUUUUCUCGUUGGGAAUCCGAAGCUGAGUCUGCAGUGGGAUGAGGGAGGCUGCAGGGACAGAUCUCCAGACGGACACACGGACUCCAAGAGCCAAAGUAGCCAAUUAAAGCAGGAAAAACGGGCCUGGGGCACCUUUCCCUGCCCUGCCGGCUGGGAAUCGUCCCUGGAGAGGCCGCAGCGCUCUCCCUGCCCACCCCACGGACCCCGCCGGGCUGCUGGGAGCCUGCACCCACGUGGGAGCGGUGCCGGGAGGGGAGAGGGAGAGGAAAAUCCUCUGGAAUGGCUGAAUCCAGGGAGGAAAUCACCGGGAGAGCCACAUCGGGUGCUGCCGCCAGCGGGGGAGGGGCUCGGGGAGGGGACCAGACCCCCUUGGAACCCCUCGGAGAGGGAGGAGACACCUUCCCAGUGGGGAACGUGGGACCAGGGGGGCUGCUGUGCUGGGAGCUGGGCACAACUCUGGUGCCCCAUUCCAACAGGUGACAGCCUUGGGGACAGGCAGGGCACGGAGAGCCACGGGGGAGGGGGCACAGGGAGGGCAGCGACCCCCACGCCGGCCCCAGCGGGUCCGAGCCGGGUCCGUGCCCCACGCCGGACACGGACACCCGGCCACGUGGAGCACGCGGCGCCCGGCCCGCGCUGA
rnacentral:lncRNA from 13 species